GAAAACAGGUUUGUAAAUGAUGUUGUACAUCAUGCAGAUAGCUCAGAAGAAGAAGCAGGAAUGUUUGACUGGAAAUAUAAACGAUGUUGUACAUAAUGCAGAUAGCUUAGGCAAAAAAGAGAUUGGUAAAAUGGAGAAUGAGACUAACUAGGGUGAAAAAAAAUGAAUAUUAAUAUGUGAAUGGUACUUUGUUUAACAUCUACCUGUUUCUACAGAUACAGUACAGACGCAUUUAUAAAUGGGCUUGAUGUUUUUUUGAAUUAAAUAUGUUGUAUUGA